rnacentral:rRNA from 1 species
CAAUAGCGUAUAUUAAUGUUGUUGCAGUUAAAAAGCUCGUAGUUGGAUUUCUGCGUCGCGCAGCUCGGUCCGCCGCAAUGCGGUGCGACUGUGGCUGGAGCGUCGCAUCCUUGUGGAGACCUUUGAUGCCAUUGAUUUGGUGUUGAAUGGGAACCGCAUCGUUUACUGUGAAAAAAUUAGAGUGUUCAAAGCAGGCAUAGGCCGUGAAUACAUUAGCAUGGAAUAAUAAGAUAGGACUUUGGUUCUAUUUUGUUGGUCGGAGGCCAAGGUAAUGAUUAAUAGGGAUAGUUGGGGGUAUUCAUAUUUAAUUGUCAGAGGUGAAAUUCUUGGAUUUAUGAAAGAUGAACUUAUGUGAAANCANNNACCAAGGAUGUUUUCAUNAA